rnacentral:rRNA from 1 species
AGUGAACGCUGGCUACAGGCUUAACACAUGCAAGUCGAGGGGUAACGAGAGGGAAGCUUGCUUUCCUUGUCGACGACCGGCGCACGGGUGAGUAACGCGUAUCCAACCUGCCCCCAACUAGGGAAUAACCUUGCGAAAGUAAGACUAAUACCCUAUAAUUUCCUCAGAUGACAUCUGACGAGGAAUAAAGAUUUAUCGGUUGUGGAUGGGGAUGCGUCUGAUUAGCUUGUUGGCGGGGUAACGGCCCACCAAGGCAACGAUCAGUAGGGGUUCUGAGAGGAAGGUCCCCCACAUUGGAACUGAGACACGGUCCAAACUCCUACGGGAGGCAGCAGUGAGGAAUAUUGGUCAAUGGGCGGAAGCCUGAACCAGCCAAGUAGCGUGCAGGAUGACGGCCCUAUGGGUUGUAAACUGCUUUUAUACAGGAAUAAAGUUAGCCACGUGUGGUUAUUUGUAGGUACUGUAUGAAUAAGGACCGGCUAAUUCCGUGCCAGCCGCCGCAGUAA